rnacentral:rRNA from 1 species
AUUGAACGCUGGCGGCAGGCUUAACACAUGCAAGUCGAGCGGAGAUGAGGUGCUUGCACCUUAUCUUAGCGGCGGACGGGUGAGUAAUGCUUAGGAAUCUGCCUAUUAGUGGGGGACAACAUUCCGAAAGGAAUGCUAAUACCGCAUACGUCCUACGGGAGAAAGCAGGGGAUCUUCGGACCUUGCGCUAAUAGAUGAGCCUAAGUCGGAUUAGCUAGUUGGUGGGGUAAAGGCCUACCAAGGCGACGAUCUGUAGCGGGGCUGAGAGGAUGAGCCGCCACACGGGGACUGAGACACGGCCCAGACUCCUACGGGAGGCAGCAGUGGGGAAUAUUGGACAAUGGGGGGAACCCUGAUCCAGCCAUGCCGCGUGUGUGAAGAAGGCCUUAUGGUUGUAAAGCACUUUAAGCGAGGAGGAGGCUACUGAGACUAAUACUCUUGGAUAGUGGACGUUACUCGCAGAAUAAGCACCGGCUAACUCUGUGCCAGCCGCCGCGGUAAAAC